rnacentral:lncRNA from 1 species
UUUUUUUUUUUUUUUUUUUUGGUAAUGGGAUGUAUUUCAAGCAGUUUGACUUUCUAUGCAAACUAUAUAGAAAGAUUCUGACUCAAUUUACACCCUUGUGGCCUUAAACGGACCCAUUUAGAUGCAUCAACUUAGGGUAGUCACAUUAAUUUUCAUUGAAAUUUGCCUUUAAUGAACAUUAGCUAAGAUCAAAUUUCUUCUUGAAGUCGGAAAUUUCUAAGGCUGGGGGCGUCUAUCAGAUCCUUGAUAAUUUUUCAGUGUCUUCUCUUCACCCCCUGAAGUCAAGCGUUAUUCACACAGCACAGAGGAUACAAGCACUUGCCUCGAUCUUUUUGUGUGUGACUAUUCACUUAACAUUUGUUCAGCGUACUUUUUUAAGAUAUUAAAAAUAGUCCCCAGUAACAUCUAAGUAAAGGCAGCAGAAAACAAAAGACCUUUCCAACAGAAAUCAUGUUCCCUGCCACCCCCUCCACCUCCAAGAAUAAUAAGCAUGUGGCACAAAUGGAUCUCUUCAGAAAAGCUGUCUGCAUAAUUUUCCUCCAGGUAACGGGCUUGACAGCAUGAAGAUGGGGAUGAUCUUAAUUGGUCUACUACUUAGUGGAGUCUUAGACACGGCUUUACUUCUGAGAGACAAUGCGGUCUCGACAGUGUAUCGAGAGAGGCUUCGUGCUUGAGACUCAUUAGCUCUGUGGCCUAUGAGAAGGCCCUGGGGCAGCCUUGCACAUGCAUCCAGCCCAGAGUUCAUUUCAUCUGCAAAUGUCUGAUUUCCAGUUGCCUUAUUAUUUUUUUUUUAUAUAGCUGAGAAUUGUUUUUAGGGGGUUGUGGCAGAAUUUUUAAAAUAAUUGUUAGACUUUCAAACCCUGUUUUUUGAAAAGUUCCUUUAGUCAGCUUCACCGAAUAAGUAGUCUACUUCCUGGUUAAAUGCUAAAUGCACCAGGAUUUGACUUUUAUACCUGCCAGUUUUGCACUUUUAGAAUACCUUUGUUUAAGUUGUAGAGUUUUUUUUGUUUGUUUGUUUUUUUGUCUUUGUCCAGAGCUGAGGACCGAACCCAGGGCCUUGCGCUUGCUAGGCAAGCGCUCUACCACUGAGCUAAAUCCCCAACCCCAGUUGUAGAGUUCUUGAGGUUCAAGUUCCUGUUUUACAGCGCAACUAAGUUUCUUACAUGAAAUUGAAAAUUUCAAUCCAUUUUGCAUUUUAUCACACAUUUUUGGAAAGAAUUUUUGUAAUGAUCCUUGAUGACCAAAAUUUAUUAGAAUGACUUUACAUAAAGUAUGGGUGCCCCAAUAAAGUUGGAUUCAACACGUUAACACCUGUCAAAGACUAUGAUAAUAGGCCUCCUACAGCUCAUCCUGGGUAGGGUGUGUGUGUGUGUGUGUGUGUGUGUGUGUGUGUGUGUGUGUAAAGGAGGUGGCAACAGAAGCCAGGACAGGGGUGAGGCAGAGCCACCGACAAUGCAAAAGGGGAAGUAGAAAGGAUGGAGAAGUUGGGGUCUGAACAUAAACCGUAUAUCUCCUCUGAUUUGUGACCAGGUGCAGGAGAAGGCCUGAUAAUGUCACAUAUGUCGGUUCUUUGCCUGUAGAAAUGUUAAGUGGACGAGCCAUCAGAACCAUAAGAGUACCACUUUGUAUCCUCAUUGAAAUUAGUACUACUGUGACUCAAAAGCUGAUAGUAAAGAAAUAAUACUCUGUAGAGAAAAAGGUUUCAAGCUGAAUUGAUUCAUGUACUGACUAAUACAGAAUAAAUGUUAUAUUAGCU